CCGGGCAGCGACAAUAUCYCGUGCAAGCCUCUUCAUUUAACGGAACAAGUGCUCUUGCCUUGGCCAAAUCGGAUUUCCUGUGUUGCAUACCUGUUGUGAAGGCAUCCAUUCGGAUAAAAAUGUCCCUUUUCCACCUAGUGUCAAUUCAUUCGUGAAAUGUUGCGAGGUGGAACUCUAACGGUGAUGGGCGUGUUUCCUUUUUYCCACACUAUUGUGUUGGGUUCUUGGCCCAUGCACAUCACACGAUCUCUCGGGUUCGGAAGACAAUGUCGGUAUAUGGCACACGUGCCAUUAUUAGUCCCGUAAGAGCGUUCUACGCUUUAAGCGAACGACCGUUGGAGCCGUUGUCGGUCGAGUCCACCCGUGACUUGCUUGAUGCGGUUUCGACGUCGAUGAGGAAUGC
rnacentral:misc_RNA from 1 species